UCACACAACUCUCGGCAAUGGAUAUCAUGAUUCUCGAAUCGAUGAAGAGAGCAAUGAAAUGCCAAACAUGGUGUGAAUUGUAAAAUCCUGCGAACCAUCAAGUCUUUGAACACAAGUUGUGCUUGAGGCCAGCUGGCCUCAGGCACAUCCGCUGGGCGUCAAGG
rnacentral:rRNA from 1 species